rnacentral:lncRNA from 1 species
UUUGUUCAAAUCAACGGUGUUCAGUGUGCUCACAAAGAAUUGAUAUUGUAGCUUCGCAAGUUCCUCAUACUUUGCAAUUUUUUGAUCUAAGUCACCAACAUAAACUCGAUUUAAUUUUUCCAAUACAUCCUUCGCAAUUUUCUCAAGAAGUUCAGAUUCCAUCCUGUAAAAAACACCAUGAUUAAAGUUACCGUAUAGCUAGUGAGAAAUUACAAUUUUUUUACUAGGAAACUACAAAGGUAAAUGUCAAGUAUAUACUCCUUUCGUCUGUAUAUUUAAGCACCCUUUUAUUAGAUGCAAAUGGUGUUUACAUGCAGGGAUGAAGUGAGUAUCAUUUUAAAAAAUAGAAAGCUUCUACUAUACUAUAAGAUUUGGAAUACCUAGG